rnacentral:rRNA from 1 species
UACGUAGGGUGCAAGCGUUGUCCGGAAUUAUUUGGGCGUAAAGAGCUCGUAGGCGGUUUGUCGCGUCUGCUGUGAAAACCCGAGGCUCAACCUCGGGCCUGCAGUGGGUACGGGGCAGACUAGAGUGCGGUAGGGGAGAUUGGAAUUCCUGGUGUAGCGGUGGAAUGCGCAGAUAUCAGGAGGAACACCAAUGGCGAAGGCAGAUCUCUGGGCCGUAACUGACGCUGAGGAGCGAAAGCAUGGGGAGCGAACAGG